UACGAAGGUCCCAAGCGUUAUCCGGAUUUAUUGGGUUUAAAGGGUGCGUAGGCGUGUUAUUAAGUCAGUUGUGAAAGCUCCCAGCUCAACUGGGAAACUGCCAUUGAUACUGAUAGUCUUGAGUAUGAUUGAAGUGGGCGGAAUGUGUCAUGUAGCGGUGAAAUGCUUAGAUAUGACACAGAACACCGAUUGCGAAGGCAGCUCACUAAGCCAUAACUGACGCUGAUGCACGAAAGCGUGGGGAGCAAACAGG
rnacentral:rRNA from 1 species